GCUGGGUGUGGUGGUGCACACCUGUAAUCCCAGUUACUGGGGAGGCUGAGGCAGGAGAAUUGCUUGAACCUGGGAGGCGGAUGUUGCAGUGGGCUGAGACUGUGCCACUGCACUCCAGCCUGGGUGACAAAGUGAGACUCUGUCUCAA
rnacentral:SRP_RNA from 1 species